rnacentral:rRNA from 1 species
UACGUAGGGACCAAGCGUUGUUCGGAUUUACUGGGCGUAAAGGGCGCGUAGGCGGCGUGGUAAGUCACUUGUGAAAUCUCUGAGCUUAACUCAGAACGGCCAAGUGAUACUGCUGUGCUAGAGUGCAGAAGGGGCAAUCGGAAUUCUUGGUGUAGCGGUGAAAUGCGUAGAUAUCGUAAGGAAGACCAGUGGCGAAGGCGGGUCUCUGGACAGUUCCUGACGCUGAGGCACGAAGGUCAGGGGAGCAAACGGG